CGGGUGUGCUCUCAUCUGCAUCUGACCAUUGCCUGUUAACUGCUUGUAGAGCACAAGAGGUGUAUUUGAUGCUAGACAAACAGCAUGUAAGACAAAUCUCUUUCUCCAAUAAGCUUUUCUUGAACACAGAUUAUGCAGAUGCCAACAGGCAAGGCAGGAUCAGGCACGAUGGAGGGAGCCGACCAUGUCGCGGAGGAGGAUCGUGUUGAAAGGAAAGACAAAAGCAGCUGAGGAGCGCAUCGGGGUGAAGCAGGGCACGCAGCCUUCCAGAAGCACCUGGUUUGCCACAGGCAUGGUCGGAAGGAUAAAGAGACCCAGCUGGAGCGGCAGAUUGAGACAUGCAGAGAGACACAGAUCCCUCCUCUACCCCCCUCAAAUAAAAAGAGCAUCUCUGGAGAGGUUUGAAUGGAGUGAGAAACAUACUAUUACAAUUAUUACAUCCCCAUUCAACAACAAUUGCGUGGCAUGGUGCCAGCUGGCACCAGAAAGGCAUUGCUGCUUCUCCUUCAUUGCCCGAUACACACCGUGACAAGAAUACAGCUCUUGUUCAGCUGAGAACCU
ensembl:lncRNA